GAAUGUCUAUGCAAAUACGAGGCAGCUGUGUGCAUCCAGGUCAUGCAGAGUAAAAAUAAAUACAUGGCUAGAACAGACUUGUUCUAGUGAGUCUAUGUAUUCAGAGUUUCAGUUGAGUUUCACAGCUGAGAAUCUUUAGGGAGCUUUACUCUAAUUGAUGUUUAUUAUGCCGGUUGAGCUUUGAGUGGAGCAAUGGAUGAAUCUCCCGAAAUACCUGAAAGCAGUAACAGCGUAGUGUGCUGAGCGGUGCUCCCGGGGGUGUGGUUAGCCACUCAGGGAGCUGAGUGAGCACUUGUGGGCGGUGCUCCCCAGGGUGUGGUCAGGAAGCUGAGUGAGCACUUGGGGGCGGUGCUCCAGGGGGUGUGGUCAGGAAGCUGAGUGAGCACUUGGGAGUGGUGCUCCCGGGGGUGUGGUCAGGAAGCUGAGUGAGCUCUUGGGGGCGGUGUUCCCGGGGGUGUGGUCAGGAAGCUGAGUGAACACUUGGGGGCUGUUCCCAACACUGCUUAUUCUCUUCUGCUUUCUGUUCUCUUGCACUUUAAAAGAAACAAAACAAAACAAAAUCCAAACACUUCACAGCUUGCACUUUGUAAGUAUAUUAAAAUACUGGCAAUUAGAAAUAUAUCUUGAGUAAAAUUUUGCCCAUGAUUAUCUUUAAAUGAAAAUAAAUGAUAAAAUUAGGUGUCACUCGUGCCAUAUCACAGCAGUGAAAUGACAAAUCCCAUGCUGUGUGAUGCUCUGGUGUUCCCUCCACCCAUUUGAACAGUCCCAUGGAUUGAUUGGGAAGAGUCCCUGGCGUCACCUAUGCAGUCUCUGACCCCUUGUUUCCGGUUUGGAAGUCUGAGUGUUAGAGUGGAUGACCCCAUGGCUGCCAUUCUGCCACAGGUGCUUGGCACUGGCUGUUUGUCUUGGCAUUCUUUCUGCCCUGCAGGGCAUACAUACUCUAGUUUCUGGCUAACAUUUUCCAGCCUAAUUAGAUCUCAACUGCAUGCUUGUUUCUUUUUGUUUUGUUUGUUUGUUGGUUUGUUUUGCAUCCUGCUUGCUCUGUGGCUUGUUUGUGUGUUUGUUUUUCAUGCUCUCUUUCCUGUGUAAGGUUAGCUGUGUGAAAGAGAGCAUGGUAAGGUCAGGGGUGAGACCACAUGUCUUUAAUAGUCUAUUUCCAGGGCUCUUCAAAAUCUCGUAUGUCCAGCAGGCAGUCAGUCUGUCAAUACGUCCUCAAUGCACAUCGACUGACUGACUGAUGAGGUUUACCUUCUGCCCUUAAACAAUGAGAAGACUGGACCCUGCCUGUGAAGCAGUGAUACAGGAGUAAAGCAACAGGAUUUAGACAUCACUGGACAGUGAUGCCCGAGAGAAGGGAGAGCCAUGUGGUGAACAUGCCUAGUGUCCUGGCUUUACAAGGGGAACUGGACAGAGUCAGGUGGUCUUGGUGAGUUUAUUUUUGUGGGGAAGUGUCCUAGACUGUUAUGGAGACAGAGACAGGUGUGUGUGAACACAAAGGAGUGAUCUGUAGUGUGAAUGUUUGAGUGUCCCCCAGCUCACAUUUGCAAUACUACCUCAAUGAUGAUGGGGGUUUUAGUUAGGGUUUACUGUUGUGAACAGUCACCAUGACCACCCCAACUCUUAUAAGGACUACAUUUAAUUGAGGCUGUCUUAUAGAUUCAGAGGUUCAGUCCAUUAUCAUCAAGGCGGGAACAUGGCAGUGUCCAGGCAGGCAUAGCUCGGGAGGAGCUGAGAGUUCAUCUGAAGGCCUCUAGGAGAAGAUUGACUUCAGGCAGCUAGGAGGAGGAUCCCCCACACUGUCACACUUCCUCCAACAAGGACAGACUAACUCCAACAAGGCCACACCUCCUAAUAGUGUCCCUCCCUGGUCCAAGCUUAUUCAAACCACCAAAAUGGGUUUAGGCAGUUGGUCCUUUAAGGAUGUGCUUGGGUCACAAGAGCAGGACCUCUGGGGUGGGAAUAGUGAUGGAAUUUGAACUUGAAGGAGUUUGUUCAUAAGCUUUCUCCAUGCAAGAAGAUGGCCAGACGGUAGUCUCUGACCCAGUGUGAGUCCUCCUCAGGCUUGCUGACUGAGGAAUACGUUCUUGACAUUUGUAGGGUUUAGGACAAUGACAUGGAAGCUCAGUCUACCAGAAUAAAGCACAUGGGUAGAGAGGUCCCUUCAAGGCUGGAUCUGCAAACACGCCUGAGGGAAGGACUGGCUAAAGGAACCAACUGCUGGGGACAUGUGGACAGACCAUCUCCACAGGUCACAGUGCCUGUUCCUCAUCUCCAGUUCCCAGGAUGGAGAGAUUUCUUAACCAUGGCAGAAUCUGGUUGAAUCCUUAGGGCAGGAGGCCAAAUUCCACCUAUAUUGAAAACUAUUCUAGUUCUAUCCUAAGAAGCUCAAAAGCAAACCUCAGAGCAUCCAAUGGUCCUAACACAUUUAAACAGCCACCAGAGGGUUAAACACUAGUAACUGAAAGAACACCAUGAUACCCAAUAGCAUGAAAUUCUCAAUCAUUCAGCAUUCAGAUAUGUGAAAAAUUAGGAAACAAAAUUAAAUUAAAAAAUAAAGAAAAAGUAGGAACAGACUAAGAAUCGGCGUGGGUAAUAGAAGGCAAGAGUUUUGAAGUAGCUCUUACACGUACAUUUCAUAUGAUUUACACAACAUAUAUCUGCAUGUUAGAGAAAGAAGAACAAUGUAUAUCUGGGCUAAGGAGACGAUGUCCUUAAAAAUUACCCAAGCUGAAAUGCUAGACAUUAAACCGACAGCAACUGGGGGUGGGGAGCAGGAGGAAGACUACCUCAAACAGCCACUAAUUUCAACAAUUGAGACAAUUAAAGGUUUAGUAUUGAAUUGGCUUGAUAUUUUGAUGAUUAUUUAUAGCUGUUGGAAAUAAAAAUUAAUUAUU
rnacentral:lncRNA from 1 species